rnacentral:rRNA from 1 species
AGUUUGUUGCACCAGAAGUAGCUAGCCUAACUGCAAAGAGGGCGGUUACCACGGUGUGGCCGAUGACUGGGGUGAAGUCGUAACAAGGUAGCCGUAGGGGAACCUGCGGCUGGAUCACCUCCUUA